rnacentral:rRNA from 1 species
GCCAGACUCCUACGGGAGGCAGCAGUGGGGGAUAUUGCACAAUGGGGGGAACCCUGAUGCAGCGACGCCGCGUGGGUGAAGGAGCGUUUCGGCGCGUAAAGCCCUAUCGGCAGGGAAGAAGGAGGACGGUACCUGACUAAGAAGCCCCGGCUAACUACGUGCCAGCAGCCGCGGUAAUACGUAGGGGGCAAGCGUUAUCCGGAUUUACUGGGUGUAAAGGGGGCGCAGACGGCAGCGCAAGCCAGGAGUGAAAGCCCGGGGCCCAACCCCGGGACUGCUCUUGGAACUGCCCGGCUAGAGUGCUGGAGAGGUAGGCGGAAUUCCUAGUGUAGCGGUGAAAUGCGUAGAUAUUAGGAGGAACACCAGUGGCGAAGGCGGCUUACUGGACAGUAACUGACGUUGAGGCUCGAAAGCGUGGGGAGCAAACAGGAUUAGAUACCCUAGUAA